rnacentral:pre_miRNA from 1 species
AAGAUACUCCCUCCGUCCGGAAAUACUUGUCAUCAAAAUGGAUAAAAAGGGAUGUAUCUAGAUGUAUUUUAGUUCUAGAUACAUCUCUUUUUAUUCAUUUUGAUGACAAGUAUUUUCGGACGGAGGGAGUAGUAA